rnacentral:lncRNA from 1 species
GACUCCCAGAACAUUAGAGCCCAAACCCUAUGCCUCUUCCCUUUCUCAAGUCUGAGAGGCGGCUUUAUUAAUAAAAGAAAAAACUUAAUAAUCGGCCCUGGGGUUUUCCGAGGGCCGCUCAAGAAAACCAGGAAGUACCUCCUCCCGCAGAGACGGCUCACUCCCAGCCCACAGCCCACAGCCCACAGCCCACAGCCCACCGCCCGGGGCUCCCGGCCGGCCGGGCGGACGGACCCACUCGGAAGGCUCGGCUCGCAGCCGGGAAGUCGCCAGCAGCCCCGGGGUCUUCUCGGGGCGGCCUCGGUGGCCCACGGCCCCGGAACCCCGGGGCGGGGAGGGGGGUCGCCACGGACCCGCUCAGUACCUGUUGAAACCCAGGGACGAAAGGUCCUCUCCGCAGAGAGUAUCUGGGAAGAGGGCCCAAGGCGGGCACGCAGCCCGCAGCACAACAGGGCCUCGGAGGAUCCCCGCAACCCCGGGCCCGCAGGGGUCGAAGGGCCGCAGCUUCCAGCAACCUCCGCCCCGGGCGCAGACCCGCCCCCAGCGUCACGUGAGAGAAAAGAAAUACCGGUAACAGAGGGGAAAGGAAGUAUUGUCCAAAGUGUGCGGGGAGGAGCGGGAGCCGCCAGCCGCGGCUCGGGGUGCGGAGGGAGGGAGGGACUGGGACGUGGGGCCGCUCGUUACCGGGGGCGCCGGGGCUCUCCGCUUCCGCCGCCGCCUCGAAGCUCUCGCUCUUCCGCCCGCGCCGCUGGGGCGCGCGCCAGGCCUCGACUCCGCCCCGCCCCGCCCCUCGCCGCGCCGCGGGGCCUUCUGGGGGUUGUAGUCCGCCCACGGCCCGCGCUGCGCGGGCUGCUCCGGGUCACGUGCGGGAAGGGCUGGCACCAACCGCGAGGGUGGGAAGGCGUUUGCGCUUCUGGCUGCCGACCCUACCCCCUUCCUCUCGUUCGUACACUGAGUCGGACCCGCUCACGCCUCGCUCAGUCACACCAUCCCUCCUUUUCCCUUGACAGCCAAGUUUUUUUUGAGAAAGGCAAUCUGAUUCGCCUCCAAUUCCUCCUGGGUGCUCUGCGGCGGGUUCUGCCCCCCUCAGGAAAUGCCCUUGUUGCCAAUCAUUACAUCCUCGUUGCCAAACUCACGGCAGGAAUUUUCAGGUCUUCUAACUUCACCUUUAGCCACCAUUUGAGGCUGCUGGACAUUCUUGAUCACUUCCUGUCUAUGUUACUACCUGGAUUUUCCUUCCUCUCAGGCCAUCCUCCUCAGUGUCUCCUUCAAGGAUUCUUUUUCUAA